GACGAACGCUGGCGGCGUGCCUAAUACAUGCAAGUCGAACGAGAGCGACCGGUGCUUGCACUGGUCAAUCUAGUGGCGAACGGGUGAGUAACACGUGGGUAACCUGCCCAUCAGAGGGGGAUAACAUCCGGAAGCGGAUGCUAAAACCGCAUAGGUCUUCGAACCGCAUGGUUUGAAGAGGAAAAGAGGCGCAAGCUUCUGCUGAUGGAUGGACCCGCGGUGCAUUAGCUAGUUGGUGAGGUAACGGCUCACCAAGGCCGUGAUGCAUAGCCGACCUGAGAGGGUGAUCGGCCACAUUGGGACUGAGACACAGCCCAAACUCCUACGGGAGGCAGCAGUAGGGAAUCUUCCGCAAUGGACGCAAGUCUGACGGAGCAACGCCGCGUGAGUGAAGAAGGUUUUCGGAUCGUAAAACUCUGUUGUUAGAGAAGAACAAGUGCUAGAGUAACUGUUAGCGCCUUGACGGUAUCUAACCAGAAAGCCACGGCUAACUACGUG
rnacentral:rRNA from 1 species